UACGGAGGGUGCGAGCGUUGUCCGGAAUCACUGGGCGUAAAGGGCGCGUAGGCGGCCUGAUAAGUAGGGGGUGAAAUCCUGCGGCUUAACCGCAGGGCUGCCUUCUAAACUGUCAGGCUAGAGCACAGUAGAGGCAGGUGGAAUUCCGGUGUAGCGGUGGAAUGCGUAGAGAUCGGGAAGAACAUCAGUGGCGAAGGCGGCCUGCUGGCUGUUGCUGACGCUGAGGCGCGGACAGCGUGGGGAGCAAACGAGG
rnacentral:rRNA from 1 species